AGGUAUCAGAAGUGCGAAUGCUGACAUAAGUAACGAUAAAGCGGGUGAAAAGCCCGCUCGCCGGAAGACCAAGGGUUCCUGUCCAACGUUAAUCGGGGCAGGGUGAGUCGACCCCUAAGGCGAGGCCGAAAGGCGUAGUCGAUGGGAAACAGGUUAAUAUUCCUGUACUUGGUGUUACUGCGAAGGGGGGACGGAGAAGGCUAUGUUGGCCGGGCGACGGUUGUCCCGGUUUAAGCGUGUAGGCUGGUUUUCCAGGCAAAUCCGGAAAACCAAGGCUGAGGCGUGAUGACGAGGCACUACGGUGCUGAAGCGACAAAUGCCCUGCUUCCAGGAAAAGCCUCUAAGCAUCAGGUAACAUCAAAUCGUACCCCAAACCGACACAGGUGGUCAGGUAGAGAAUACCAAGGCGCUUGAGAGAACUCGGGUGAAGGAACUAGGCAAAAUGGUGCCGUAACUUCGGGAGAAGGCACGCUGAUAUGUAGGUGAAGCGACUUGCUCGUGGAGCUGAAAUCAGUCGAAGAUACCAGCUGGCUGCAACUGUUUAUUAAAAACACAGCACUGUGCAAACACGAAA
rnacentral:rRNA from 1 species